rnacentral:rRNA from 1 species
GACGAACCGUGCGAACGUUGUUCGGAAUCACUGGGCUUAAAGGGCGCGUAGGCGGGCUGCCAAGUCUGGGGUGAAAUCCCACGGCUCAACCGUGGAACUGCCUCGGAUACUGGCGGCCUCGAGGGAGGUAGGGGCAUGCGGAACUGUGGGUGGAGCGGUGAAAUGCGUUGAUAUCCACAGGAACUCCGGUGGCGAAAGCGGCGUGCUGGACCUUUUCUGACGCUGAGGCGCGAAAGCUAGGGGAGCAAACGGG